GACGAACGCUGGCGGCGUGCUUAACACAUGCAAGUCGAACGAUGAGGCCCAGCUUGUUGGGUGUGCUCGUGGCGAAAGCGUGUGUAUAACACGUGAGUAACCUGCCUAUGACUGGGAGAUAACUGGAGGAAACUGUGUAUUAUACGGGAGAGGAGUUCCUCGUGCAGUGGGUGUUGUGAAGAUUUUUGGCGGUUGGGGAUGGACUCGCGGCUUAUCAGCUUGUUGGUGGGGUAGUGGCUCACCAAGGCCGUGACGGGUAGCCGGCCUGAGAGGGUGACCGGCCACACUGGGACUGAGACACGGCCCAGACUCCUACGGGAGGCAGCAGUGGGGAAUAUUGCACAAUGGGCGGAAGCCUGAUGCAGCAACGCCGCGUGAGGGAUGACGGCCUUCGGGUUGUAAACCGCUUUCGGUAGUGAAGAAGCGAAAGUGACGGUAAUUGCUAAAGAAGCACCGGCUAACUACGUG
rnacentral:rRNA from 1 species